rnacentral:snRNA from 1 species
AUACUUACCUGGCAGGGGAGAUACCAUGAUCACGAAGGUGGUUUUCCCAGGGCGAGGCUUGUCCAUUGCACUCCAGAUGUGCUGACCCCUGCGAUUUCCCCAAAUGUGGGAAACUCGACUGCAUAAUUUGUGGUAGUGGGGGACUGCGUUCGCGCUCUCCCCUG